CAGCCGCAACCCCAGGGACCAGUGCGCACGCCCGGGCCGCCCUCCGGGAGACACCCUGCGGCCGUGGACAACUGAAUAAACACCCCAAAGCACUGCGAUCGGUCAAGGGCGGUGACAGCCA
ensembl:misc_RNA